GGACAAAUGAAGUGAGGUGCAGGCUUGUCCAAGGUCAUUACCAGUCACUGGCUGACAGAGCACGUGGAACUCCUGACUCCUCUCUCCAGGGUUUCUCCAUCCUGUUGCUUGUUCAGAAACACUUCCGGUGCUUGGGCCUAUUGUACUUCCCACUUCCGGUCACGGACUGUGAGAGCCGAAAGGGGCUUCCGGUGUGGUCGUGUCCCACCCCCCACAAGGAAAAGCAAGAUCUGGGAGGCACCCCACACCGGGGGCAGCGAGCCAGGAGCACCGCUCGGCCGGGACGGCUGGGCUACGGGGCUGAGAGUACCCGGGGCAGAGCGAGCUGCCAGCCGCUGGUCGGCAGAUUGUGGCAGUGUGGGCCUGGCAUUUCCGGAGCCCCUUUGAUGAUGGGAGAACGCAUGUGCAAGGAAUCUCAGGGCCAGCCCUAAAAUAGGAUGUGGAAGGGAGGGCCCUAUUUGGCCAUCUUCAUCCUCUGGGCAGGGACAGAAGAAAAGAUCCUCCUCUCCAAUUCUUUUCCCUGUUGGAUACGGUCUUCCCGAACGUGCCGCAGGAUGUAUAUGACAGAAAUAUCUUCCCAAGAAUGGAAUUCAAGCUCUGACUCCCAUACUCUUAGAGGCUACUGGCUUGGCUGUAAUCCUCCUUGAACAAGGCUUCAGGAGACAGUUAGCAAGGGCCUGGGUCUGUCUGAUUGUGUGAGAGUUGGGGUGCGUGGUUUGCCCUAUAACAAGAUCUCACCAGUACAGUAAGUUUGGAAACAGGAAGGUUAAAGAGAAGGGAAUUCUGGACAAGGACUCCGCUCUCCUCCCUAAGACAAUUCACAGUGAUCUUUCAUUUUGGCCCACUUACACACCAUUCAUGGAUCCCAAUUUAGCUCAAACUUCUUACCCUUCAACCCAGCCUCUAAAAAUAAGAACAUCUGGGAAUACCAAGGCAGGGUGGUAGGGAGAACAAUUUCAUGGGCUCUCUCCCUCUCCCGACCUCGUAACUUUUAUUGCUUUACAGUUCAUUGUCUCACUCUUUCCCCCACCGCCCACCACCAUCCUUUUGUUCACACAGGAACUGUGGGAAACUCCACCGGGGGCGGGGGGGGGGGGUGUGAUUCACGAUCUUUUGGAACGACUGCUGAGCAAUGAGAGUCUCAAUGAAAUACCCGGCUGGGAAUAUCAGCUCCCCCUUUAAUAUUCUCUUCUUCUGGUUCAAUAUGGAGUAAUUUCAAGGCUCACCACAGCUAGGGCUUGAAGUCUUUCUUUGAUUGCUGCUGCCUGUCUAUUGUGCAUUCCCUGGAACAAUCUGGAGAUGAGAGCCAGGUAGCAACAAUGCAGCAUGUCUCUGGGACCAAAUGAUAAUUGGAAAAUCCCAGUAAGUCCAUUCCCUCUGGCCCUUAGUUCACAUAUGGCCAGCACAUUAGAGACCUUGUCCAAAAGACCAGUUUGGGACAUAGAGUGGGGGUGAUUUCUGUCAUUAACUCAGACUAUCUUCCCUCAAAUAAUCGAGCAAUCAGGGCUCGGUGUGCCUUGGCUCCAUUGCAGGUUUGGCCGUGUCACUGGUUUUAACCCAACCUGAUGUCCCUUCUAGAAUGGUCCAUACUCAAGGAGAUAAAGUAGCUGUCUUUAUGAGUGAUUGCUUCCAGACUCAACGAAGAGAAACUCAUGUGUUUGAAAUGCCCGCCAUCCUUCUCCAUUUCACCAUAAAGUAGCCAAUUUAAUUUUGCACAAUACUGUUUGAUAACAACCAUGUGUGUGUCUUCUGUAUUUAUAUGCUCAGGAAAGGACCUACUUGGUCAGUGUGAGAUAAUUUCACAAGAAAAAUGGAACCAGA